GACGAACGCUGGCGGCGUGCCUAAUACAUGCAAGUUGAGCGCUGAAGGUUGGUACUUGUACCAACUGGAUGAGCAGCGAACGGGUGAGUAACGCGUGGGGAAUCUGCCUUUGAGCGGGGGACAACAUUUGGAAACGAAUGCUAAUACCGCAUAAAAACUUUAAACACAAGUUUUAAGUUUGAAAGAUGCAAUUGCAUCGCUCAAAGAUGAUCCCGCGUUGUAUUAGCUAGUUGGUGAGGUAAAGGCUCACCAAGGCGAUGAUACAUAGCCGACCUGAGAGGGUGAUCGGCCACAUUGGGACUGAGACACGGCCCAAACGCCUACGGGAGGCAGCAGUAGGGAAUCUUCGGCAAUGGACGAAAGUCUGACCGAGCAACGCCGCGUGAGUGAAGAAGGGUUUCGGAUCGUAAAACUCUGUUGGUAGAGAAGAACGUUGGUGAGAGUGGAAAGCUCAUCAAGUGACGGUAACUACCCAGAAAGGGACGGCUAACUACGUG
rnacentral:rRNA from 1 species